UCUGUGAGACUUUUUUGUUAUGCACUACUUACCUUUGGUAUCUAGACAGUUUCCAACAGUUGGCUGGUGAUUUUUUUUUCUUUUUAAGGAAAAAGGCAUGCUUUCUGGCUGACACGAUCCUUUGCAAUACCUCAAUUUUGAAAUAUAGGAAAGAAAAUGAUAUUUUCUAAAAACCUACCUAGUUGUGUGGAAGGAGCAAAACUUUUUGAAGACGCACCCCUCUUUCUCAUACUAAAAUCACCCCGCCAGAGAGAAAGCUGGAAGACGUACAGCAUAGAGUUGAGUUCAACAUUGUUGUGGAGAAUAGGUUGAAAAUAAACUCCAUUUGGUGCUGAGAGCUGUGAAUAGACGGUGAAAAAUAUUUUCCCUUAAUUUGUAUAUUUCUAAUCAAGCGUUGAUUAUGCACGACUGACCAGAAUUGUGAAAGAGUUCUUCUGUUUGUAUUUUUUUAAAAAGAACUUUUUUAGUUUAUUAAAUUAUAACAUGUUCCCUUUUGUUUGUAAAUAAGUGUGCCCCCCCGAGUUGUUAAUGUUAUAUUAAAAGAGAGGGUCCUUCAAAAAAAUUAUUUUUUAAAAAAAUCCACAAAAAGGUGUUCUGAACUGUAACUUGCCUGAGAAGCGCCUGGGGUCCUACAGGCCUGCCUUGGCCAUUCCUUGGUGUGAGACUUGAACUUGUUUUUUUGAAGGCUAUAACCUAACCUCGACUAUUUGUUGUUAUGUGCAAUACUGUUUGUACUGUUUGUAUAAAAAAUAGAAAAAAAAGUAAAGAAAAAAGGCAUAAAUCUUUAUUGCAGAUUUAUUUUCAUUGCAAACUUUAGACAUUGUGAUUCACUGAAAUCAUUUUUCUACUGUCAAAUAUGUACCUUUUCUUCAUGCUGGUAUUUUUUCAAUAGUAAUGUAGCCUUUGUACUGAGACAAAAAUUUUCAUUGUUAUUUUUAGAAAGAUUUUUUGCUAAGAAAAAAAUUAAACAUAUUUACAUAUUUUUCAUUUUAUUUCGUAUUUUCUUUAAAGAGUGCUUUCUCAAUCAUUAAUAGAGUUGUUUCUGGGAGGGACUUUCAUAUCUGGUCAAUGUCAUAAUAUUAUUUUGUAUUUUUACUUGGAAUAAAUUAAUUUUAUGAUGCUAAUUCCUUAAAAGUUUAUUUUUUUCAUUUUCGGUUAUUUUUGAAGCUAAAACCUUUGUAAUAUUGUUACUAAAGUGUCUAGUUUUUUGAAAUGCAAAGCUUUCUGUAUUAACUUGCUGAAGUGGUUUACAGUAGGUGACAAUGAAUAAAUGGCUGGUUAUGUAAAGUGAUUGGAAAUGUAAUGAAUAAUCGGGCAAUAAAAAGACAGAAUGGAGCAGAAUGUG